rnacentral:rRNA from 1 species
AGACCCGAAACCCGGUGAUCUAGCCAUGGGCAGGUUGAAGGUUGGGUAACACUAACUGGAGGACCGAACCGACUAAUGUUGAAAAAUUAGCGGAUGACCUGUGGCUGGGGGUGAAAGGCCAAUCAAACCGGGAGAUAGCUGGUUCUCCCCGAAAGCUAUUUAGGUAGCGCCUCGUGAAUUCAUCUCCGGGGGUAGAGCACUGUUUCGGCUAGGGGGCCAUCCCGGCUUACCAACCCGAUGCAAACUGCGAAUACCGGAGAAUGUUAUCACGGGAGACACACGGCGGGUGCUAACGUCCGUCGUGAAGAGGGAAACAACCCAGACCGCCAGCUAAGGUCCCAAAGUCAUGGUUAAGUGGGAAACGAUGUGGGAAGGCCCAGACAGCCAGGAUGUUGGCUUAGAAGCAGCCAUCAUUUAAAGAAAGCGUAAUAGCUCACUGGUCGAGUCGGCCUGCGCGGAAGAUGUAACGGGGCUAAACCAUGCACCGAAGCUGCGGCAGCGAACGUAUCACUUAAAGCGAUUCAGCGGGUUACGAUUGACGGAGCGAAGCGACGUCAAAGCGUAUACAAAGUCGAGUCGGUUUAAGGAUACGUUCGUUGGGUAGGGGAGCGUUCUGUAAGCCUGCGAAGGUGGCCUGUGAGGGUUGCUGGAGGUAUCAGAAGUGCGAA